GUGAGCCCCGCUGGGCCCAAGCACCCCCCACCUCCCGCGGAUUCCAGCUCUGGACUUCUGCCGUCCAGCUUGGGGCGGGGGCGAGGGAGGUGGGACGAGGCUGGAGGCAUCCAGGGAAAUUGCAGCCUAGCGUGAAUCACCCGGCACAUGACCCCAAAGAGAAGGGGUGGAUGCGGAACCCGCUCGUGAUACGGCUGGGGCUCGGGGAGGGCAGGCCUUGCGCUCGCCCCCACCAUCACCCUCCAGCCACGAUUUGGGAAUAGAGGGAAGCCCCCCUCCCGUCCGGCUCCACCCCGGCAGCCCCCGGCCCGCCCGCUUGCUGGGUGAGGCGGGACUCACGGCCUUCAGCUGCUCCAGCCGGUCCUUCAUCCUGCUGCCCAGGCGCCCGCAGGCAGCCAUUCACUGUGCUAGGAUCCGGCCCUCAACAGACUCAUUCAUUGCUAAGCGGCGACUACAUCCCGAAAACAAGAAACUCUAAGACAAAGUGAUUAGGUGGGAGAGACAGCAACGAAUUCUGCCUGGAGGAAGGGCAUUCCAAGUAACAGAAUGUGCCCGGUCUCGGGGGUCUGCGUGUUGAAGCUGAAAGAGUGAAAAUGAUGGAGGCGAGGCUGGGACGAAGACUUCGGAUCUUAUGAUGUUGACAGUGGGGACCCAUAAGAGAAAUACAAACUCCUCAACUCCUGGAGCCCUUAAGCACGAAGUUCUCCUCUAAAGAGCCUGGUGCAGGAAGUGGGAAGACUCAAUGCGGAAGCUUCAUCAUGAGAUGCCCACUGUUACCCCUGAGCUGCGGAAGACACGUGCACCUGUCUCUUACAACACCCGUGAAACACUUGUCAAGAGUAACAGGACAAACCGAGUGAAACCUUAGGGAGAGAAUUGAGGAUGAAAGAUAAAUAAUUCAAGAUGGCAGAAACUCGGCACUUACACCACGGGAAUCAUGAGACAGUAGUUGGAACGGUCCCAGUUUGAUCGGCAACUUACGCUUGUGUCUGCGCCUGCCCAGAUGUGCAACGUGCGAGCCUGCUAAGGGCCUGAGAACUACACCUGGAGCGAAGUCCGAAGCAGGACACAGACUCUACCUGCGAUGUUCACAGGAAGCAUCCUGACCAGGCCCACCUGUGAAUGGCUGCAGGAAAGAAGAAAUUAACACAUCCCUUCCAGAGUCAGAACAGAACCAGGAAAGAUUUGCAACAACGUAUCACCUUUUUACCUUACCUCCUCCUCUUUUUUCUAUAGAAGA